AUUGAACGCUGGCGGUAGGCUUAACACAUGCAAGUCGAGCGGAGAUGAGGUGCUUGCACCUUAUCUUAGCGGCGGACGGGUGAGUAAUGCUUAGGAAUCUGCCUAUUAGUGGGGGACAACAUUCCGAAAGGAAUGCUAAUACCGCAUACGUCCUACGGGUGAAAGCAGGGGAUCUUCGGACCUUGCGCUAAUAGAUGAGCCUAAGUCGGAUUAGCUAGUUGGUGGGGUAAAGGCCUACCAAGGCGACGAUCUGUAGCGGGUCUGAGAGGAUGAUCCGCCACACUGGGACUGAGACACGGCCCAGACUCCUACGGGAGGCAGCAGUGGGGAAUAUUUGACAAUGGUGGGAACCCUGAUCCAGCCAUGCCGCGUGUGUGAAGAAGGCCUUAUGGUUGUAAAGCACUUUAAGCGAGGAGGAGGCUACUGAGACUAAUACUCUUGGAUAGUGGACGUUACUCGCAGAAUAAGCACCGGCUAACUCUGUGCCAGCAGCCGCAGUAA
rnacentral:rRNA from 1 species